AAAAAAAUUUUGUACUGACCCCUGAAUGGGAAGCCCAAAAAAUGUUGUUUAUCAUGCAGCUUUGCAAUAAGUUCCAAGUCCACAUAUUAUAUCAUUGUCUUGAUGAAAAUUGUUCAUUGCUUGAAAAAUAUUGGUCAAGGAGUGGCUGUGUGGUAAGUAGCUUGCUUAC